GCGAGUUGACCGGAGCAUCUCAGGGUGCAGCAAGGCAUACUUCCAAGUUCUGUCCAUCGGGAGUUGGUACCUCCCGUUCUCUCGUCUCUUUCUCUUUGUUAGAUAAUUUGUGGCUAUCUAGUUAGUACCAUUUUAAGCGUCUUCUUAGCGUUUGUAGUAUACUUGUAGUUGCUGUUGGCUAUUUCUGGUUUGGGCCCGGGUUAGUGUCUUCCGAAGUUUAUUGUAGGUAUAGUGGCUGUGGUGUGGGAUGGUAGAGUAAGGUCAUGUCCUCGAGGGGUGCCGGGGGUGAGGACCGGGAUGGGGAGGGGGUCAGGGGCUGGGACGAUAACUCGGAGCUACACUCCCACUCACAAUGGAAAUCAUACACUUAGUAGUUCACCUAUUAUCCAACAGAUCUUUCCUCGACACUUCCAAGUCAUAUAGAAAUAUCACGCAGUACUAACAUGCUCAUUACAAAGCUAUCCAGCCGUUAUUCCCACUAUUUGGGACAAUACUGAACACAUAAAUUCAAAAUACUUUCUCACACAAUCAGCACCUCGGUGCUCAAGCAAUAGCAAAGGUCCGGCCUCACGUCCUUUAGACUGGCCCAACAUCAACUCACAGAGAUCACGCCUCGCCCAAUACUAAACACAUAAAUUCAAAAUACUUGCUCACACAAUCAGCACCUCGGUUCUCAAGCCAUAGGCAAAGGUCCGGCCUCAAGUCCUUCAGACUUGCCCAACUUCAACUCACAGAGAUCACGCCUCGCCCCUCGCUCGGGGAAUCAUAAGCCAUCUAUGCGCAUCCAAUACCGAGUGCUUCGACGUACAUGCGAAUGAGUGGAAGGAAUUUCAAGAGUUUCUUUUCAAGCUGAAUCAAGGACACACAAUAAGAAUUUAAGAAUGUGAAGGUUUCCUAAAGGUUCUGCAGCCUCUCGAGGAUAAAUACAGAUGUCUCCGUACCGAUCUGCGAGACUCUACUAACCCUGCUAAUGACUCGUGAGACCUAGUAACCUAGGCUCUGAUACCAACUUGUCACGACCCAAAUACUUUACCCGGUCGACCUGCUCAUGGCUCAUGAGUCCUAGUAACCUAGGCUCUGAUACCAACUUAUCACGAUCCAAGCCCUGCUCCGGUCGUAUCGUGAAGACAAUGCCAGCCAACCAACUAAAAUUGCCCUUUCAAAAAUAGUUAAACAUUAAUAAGCAGUCUAAAUAUGAUUUAAUAUUAACAUUUAGCGGAAGUAAAACCCAAGCACAACAUAAAUCGGGGUGUCACAAGUCACUAGCAUCUAGAAGAGUUUAAAUACAACCACAAGGCUGGUAAUAUACAAAAUAGAAUUUAGAAUCAAAAGGAAGAAAUCUGGUGCCGCGAACGCUGGCGGUCACCUUGCUCAGCUACGAUAGCAAAAUCUCCAAUCAGCUCAAAACCCGCUAUUGGGUGAACAAAUACCUGCAUCUGCACACGAGGU
rnacentral:lncRNA from 1 species